rnacentral:snRNA from 1 species
GUGCUCGCUUUGUAGCACAUAUACUAAAAUUGGCAUGAUGCAGAGAAGAUUACCAUGGCCCCUGCACAAGGAUGACACACAAAUUUGUGAAGUGUUCCAUAUUUAA